rnacentral:rRNA from 1 species
CCUACGGGAGGCAGCAGUAGGGAAUAUUGCUCAAUGGGGGGAACCCUGAAGCAGCAACGCCGCGUGGAGGAUGAAGGUUUUAGGAUUGUAAACUCCUUUUGUUAGAGAAGAUAAUGACGGUAUCUAACGAAUAAGCACCGGCUAACUCCGUGCCAGCAGCCGCGGUAAUAAGUAUGGUGCAAGCGUUACUCGGAAUCACUGGGCGUAAAGGGAGCGUAGGCGGGAUAGCAAGUCAGAUGUGAAAUCCUAUGGCUUAACCUUCGAACUGCAUUUGAAACUGUUAUUCUAGAGUGUGGGAGAGGUAGGUGGAAUUCUUGGUGUAGCGGUAAAAUCCGUAGAGAUCAAGAGGAAUACGCAUUGCGAAGGCGACCUGCUAGAACAUAACUGACGCUGAGGCGCGAAAGCGUGGGGAGCAAACAGGAUUAGAUACCACUGUAGUC